CUGUGGGUUUGGCCAUGGAAGAAGUUAAAUUCUCUCAGUGAUUUUGUGAACUUGGCUUUCUUUAUGAUUCCUGUCUAUCUUUCCCCCAAAGGCUAGUUACUGAGCAAAUUCCUGUGAGAGCCCCCGAUGACUGUAAAAACCACCCCCUGAUAUGUAUAAUGUUCCAGACUGCAACAUGCUCAUGAAGGGAUCCAGGAAAAGACCACAUGUUGCUAAAGGACCUCAUUGGCUUGAAGAUGAAGGAAGCGGCACACCAAUAGGAUUGCAAUCUCUAAGCUAUCAUCACUAA
rnacentral:lncRNA from 1 species